rnacentral:rRNA from 1 species
GACGAACGCUGGCGGCGUGCUUAACACAUGCAAGUCGAGCGGUAAGGCCCUUUCGGGGUACGACGAGCGGCGAACGGGUGAGUAACACGUGGGUGACCUGCCCUCAGCUCUGGGAUAAGCCUGGGAAACCGGGUCUAAUACCGGAUAUGACUCCAUGACGCAUGUUGUGGGGUGGAAAGCCUUGUGCGGCUGAGGAUGGGCCCGCGGCCUAUCAGCUUGUUGGUGGGGUGAUGGCCUACCAAGGCGACGACGGGUAGCCGGCCUGAGAGGGCGACCGGCCACACUGGGACUGAGACACGGCCCAGACUCCUACGGGAGGCAGCAGUGGGGAAUCUUGCGCAAUGGGCGAAAGCCUGACGCAGCGACGCCGCGUGA